UGGGGAAUUUUGGACAAUGGGCGAAAGCCUGAUCCAGCAAUGCCGCGUGUGUGAAGAAGGCCUUCGGGUUGUAAAGCACUUUUGUCCGGAAAGAAAUCCUUGGCUCUAAUACAGUCGGGGGAUGACGGUACCGGAAGAAUAAGCACCGGCUAACUACGUGCCAGCAGCCGCGGUAAUACGUAGGGUGCAAGCGUUAAUCGGAAUUACUGGGCGUAAAGCGUGCGCAGGCGGUUUGCUAAGACCGAUGUGAAAUCCCCGGGCUCAACCUGGGAACUGCAUUGGUGACUGGCAGGCUAGAGUAUGGCAGAGGGGGGUAGAAUUCCACGUGUAGCAGUGAAAUGCGUAGAGAUGUGGAGGAAUACCGAUGGCGAAGGCAGCCCCUGGGCCAAUACUGACGCUCAUGCACGAAAAGCGUGGGGAGCAAAACAGGAUUAGAUACCCUGGUAGUCCACGCCCUAAAACGAUGUCAACUAGUUGUUGGGGAUUCAUUUCCUUAGUAACGUAGCUAACGCGUGAAGUUGACCGCCUGGGGAGUACGGUCGCAAAGAUUAAAAACUCAAAUGAAUUGACGGGGUCAUAGCUGUUUCCU
rnacentral:rRNA from 1 species